GUCACAUUUCCAGCUGUCAUACAGCAGUUUUUUGACAAGAAAUACGGCAGUAUCAGCGAGUGCAGAACUUUUGCUAAUUUUUUCAAUUGUGUUACAAGCAAAUAAUAAAAUCAUAGCAAAAUGACUAACGCAUGGAGAGCCGCUGGACUUACCUACAUCCAAUACUCUAACAUCUGCGCUCGUGUUGUGCGCCAAUCACUGAAGGCUAACCUGCGUAACGAUGCCGCUAAACGCAACGAGACUCAUGUGAAGUUCACACCAUGGGCUAACGGCAAACCUGCACAUGAGAAGUAAAGUAGCCACAAGCUAGUUAUUUAUAUUAGCCUAAACAACGUAUGUGAUGUUGCCGCGUUACUGAAGAAGCUUAAGUCUCCUUUUGGUAUACUAUCGCAUUUAUCAGUAGCAACCGACGACAUCAUGGUUCAUUUCAGUUGUUUUACAGGAAUUUCCGUUUCUGUAUACGCUCGAGUAAUAAAUAAAUUAAGAAA